rnacentral:misc_RNA from 1 species
GAUGAAGAACGCAGCGAAAUGCGAUAAGUAAUGCGAAUUGCAGAAUCCGUGAAUCAUCGAAUCUUUGAACGCACCUUGCGCCCCUUGGUUAUUCCGAAGGGCAUGCCUGUUUGAGUAUCAUGAACACCUCAACUCUUGUGGUUUCCCACAAUGAGCUUGGACCAUGGAGGUUUUUGUUGGCCCUCUGGUCAGCUCCUCUCAAAUGGAUCAGCUUACCGGUGUUUGGUGGCAUCAUGGGUGUGAUAACUAUCUACGCUUGUGGUCGUCUCCAAAUAACCUCCAGUGAUGGAGGUUCGCUGGAGCUUAUAAACGUCUCUCCCCAGUGAAGACAGCCUUUGAACGUUCGAUCUCAAAUCAGGUAGGACUACCCGCUGAACUUAAGCAUAUCAAUAAGCGGAGGA